UUUUUUUUUCUUUUCCUUCUUUUUCUUUUUCUUUGUGUGUUUGUGUGUGAUUCUGGAUUCUGGGAGUUGAACCCAGGGUCUCAUGACUUCUAGAUAAGCUUUCUGCCACUGAGAUCAAGCCCCGCCUUAGGCCAGCUUUCUCAACCAAUCUGAACGCAGUGAUAAGAAUCUGAUUUACAUCUUUGAGAAAACAAGCAUCAAAAUUGUUGUGUUCAGCCAAUGCCAUGUAAUAAGAUUAUCCCAAGUCUCCAGCUUUUCUGUGUAAAGAAAUAAUCAACUUGAAGUGUAUUUUUUAUAGGAUUUGUGGGUCUGUGAUGAAGGUCAGUUUGUAUCCGUUUAAUAAAAUGAAUCAUUCUUAUAUAUUUUGAGACACAUGUUUAGGGAAAAGAAAUUUGGUAUUCACUUUAACUAGAGUUAAACCCUUUGCACCCAAUGGCCUUGCAUUUCCUAGUUGGAGCUGUUUAAGGUACAGUUUUCUCUGUGCACACGAGGGAAAGUAAGGAGCCAUAUUGGAUGCAAACUGCAACGGAGUGCAGGCCAGUCACACGUUGCUGUUGCUGUGGUCUUUGGACUCUUGACAACAGUGUUGGUGUUAUCUAUGUGUUUGUUCAUUCUUUUUGCAUCCUUUUGUUUUAGAUGUGCUUUUUAUGCACAUCAAGCUGUAUAUUUAAGCUGUAGCAUCAUAGCAACUAUUUAUAUUUAUAUACAUAACAGCAUCAAACCUUGAUUUGGGUGCCAGACAAGGCGUUUUUGUUGCUGUUGUCAGACAGGCCUCCAUUCUGCAGAGAGGACUUACAUUUCAGAAUGAAAGCUCAGGAAAGGAUUCUGGAGUUCUGUUUUUUUUUUUCUUUCGUUUUUAAAUAAAUAAAUAAAUAAAUAAAUAAAUAAAGAUUUAGUUAAUAUUUUUUCUUUGAUAAUCUUUAAUAAACUUUUAAUGCAUGCUGUGGGUAAUUACUUAAUGGCUUGUAUCUCUGUUACUGCCAGAUGGCCUGAGCCUUGUGGAGCCCGUUGCAUGUGCUGGAUACAGUGUCCAUGUGCCGUGUCUCACUGUUACCCACUAGUGUCCUGGUAUCCUGCUGGGUAGAAUUAGGUAGCGGUAACCUGAUCCCUGUCAAGUGGUAAUACUGCAUCCUGCUGUCAUAUGUUGCCUUGCAUUGAUCUUAAAAACUUUUAAAGAAGGUAUUUAUUGCUCUAACACAGAUUGGAUUCUAAAAUCAAUGAACAUAAUCAGAAGAAACUCUUACUUGUUUACUAAUAAACAUAUAUAAAACAUGCUAUCUGCUCUAGAAUUUCUAUUAAACUCUUGUGCACAUUGCACUCCAAUGGAUUUCCUAGGACCGGAAACUGGUCCCCCUGAGCUUUCCCAAGGACACACCCAUACUGCACAAGCCUUCUAAAUCAGGAAUGCCUUUGAUACAGUACUGUGUUGUCCAGGUUGUACAGGGUACAGCAAGUAAAAAAUGUAUUCUGCACUUGCCUUUUAAGUGGACUCCCUUCUAAGGGGAAGCCAUAACAACAGUUGUUAUUCCAAGUGUCAGGACAUGGUAGUACAUGUGCCUUUUCUCUGUGGAGAAUAACUAUAGACGUGGAUAGUGUGAGAGUCUAGUGGCCAUAGACUAUGAUCAUUUGGUGUGCAAUAGAGGCACACGGGUAUUUGAUUAAAUCAGGAAGAAAAUUUAAGAUGCUUUGUAUUGCUUUCCGGCAUCAUAAAGGACCAUUUUGAAUAAAAUACACAAGGCUACUAAAGUAGCUUAGAGUUUGACAUUAAAGGGGAGUAUUGGCAGGGUGUUAUGCCACGUGAUAGUAGACUGUUAGGGCUUGUAGCUUCUGUGAUGUUCUUUAACUAUGAACUCAUCUUUCCUGAGAAAUGAACCUUUAUGUAUAUUUGGCAGCAGGACUCCUCUAUUUGACUGAUCACACAGUAAUCCCUUCUGGAGGUAGGUAAAGGGUUAACACUUCCCCUACAGAGUGCCUGGGGAGUUCACCUAGGAUACUAAUUCCUUCCUGGAAGUAGAGGGGAAGUAGAGGCGGAAGCUGAGGGAGUCUGCAUGCUGAGGCCGGUUGGUCGGGACUUCCUCCACCACUUCCCGGUGUUGAUCUUUUCUGUUGUUACAUUGUUGCUGUUUGUUUUCUUUUCUGGGCUCCUAGUUGUUCCUCCUCUUUCCUCCCAAUUUCUCCUGCACUGAAAAGCACAUCCACACGUGUCACUGUCCUGUCUUUUCCGUUGUACACUGUAAGGAUAGUCACCACUUACCCCAGGUAUCCAAAGGGCCAUUCUUGACUUCACCCUAAGAACUAUGCAGGUGAAACCAAGCUGUUUGAGGAAAAAAAAAAAUUCCCUUGGCAAUAAAGACUGCUCCGUCUCAAGCCUUUAAGUUGGAAGCAGCGGCUCCUGCUGGAAUCCUUGAAGUCAGAUGUCAAGCUGGGCUGAUGGUAGGCGGGCUGUGUCACGGGGCUGAUGGCUUGUAUACCUACAGGAGGAGUUCUCUGGCCACAGCGUUGGUACAGCAGCUCCUUCAAGGCUCAGUCACGGAGCGGGCACGGUGGCAGGCUUGGAGAAGAGUGCCAGCCCCGGUCAGAGGUAAUUUUGUACUGCAGAAAGGUGCUGAAGACCUUGCAGGAAGCGUCCCUAAGAACCAGGGGAGGGAUAAGGGGGGGCAUGAGAUGGGGAGACACAGUGGGGGUUGCCGGGGAAUCAGAAACCUCUGUUAAGACAUAUUUACAUAAUAUGCUUCAAUGUGUAUUUCACCUAGUCCAGUCUUCAUAAGUGACUGGUACAGCUAAACUGACUAAUAGACUUUUUUUUUUUCGGGGGGGGGGGGAAGCAUUUUUACGUUAUCACAUUCUCACCUUUACCUGCUCUCCAGACAAAUCACGCGCUCCUCUCCUUUUGAGCAAAGAGAACAUAAUGGCAAGCUACUUUUGUUAUCUGGCCCCAAUUCCCCCUUCAAAGGAAUUAUAAAGCUCAUUUUUCCCUAAGCCCAUGUUCUCUGCAGGAAGUGAAAAAAUGGUCUAUUGUUUUUCCUCUGUCAGAAACAUGAAUGGACUUCCUGUUUCUUCCAGUAGUGCCAACCUAGUGUAGCCUCCUGGGUCAUGAUCUUGCUGCCAAGAUGUGCUAGUCACGCCGGGCCAGAACUGUGGCCUCAGAAAUAGUACUAAUACAGAGUGCUGUUUAGGGCUAAAGAUCCUUGUGUGCCACUGGAAGAUGGGAUUUUCUUGGGGUGGGAAACUUGAUACACAGAGAGAUGGAUCAGGGAUGCUCAGGGUUCAUGGUGGUCUCCCCUCUCAGGUCAUGCAAGACUCAGGAAGAUAAGGGCAGCAGCUGAUGGAGCCAUUGCCUCGUGCAGGAAUACGCUUCUUGGUUCUAGGACUUUUACAUCGUUGGUUUUUGUUAACACAUCCCAGGGGCAGAAUAGUGGCUACUAUAAAUUAAGUCUCCAGUAGUUCACUAAAUCGUCUCUGUGACAUUCCUGAGCCAGCUUCAGGCGACAGUAAUAGAAUAGGGACAGAUUGGAGAUGACAUUUCACGAGGUGCUGGAUAGGUUCACAGUCUUAUUAGCCCUAGUCACUUUAGUUGAGCCUGGGGUGUU
rnacentral:lncRNA from 1 species